rnacentral:rRNA from 1 species
AUUGAACGCUGGCGGCAGGCUUAACACAUGCAAGUCGAGCGGUAACAGGAGAAGCUUGCUUCUCGCUGACGAGCGGCGGACGGGUGAGUAAUACUUAGGAAUCUGCCCAGUAGUGGGGGAUAGCUCGGGGAAACUCGAAUUAAUACCGCAUACACCCUACGGGGAAAAGGGGCGCUUGCGCUCUCGCUAUUGGAUGAGCCUAAGUCGGAUUAGCUAGUUGGGUGGGGUAAAGGCCUACCAAGGCGACGAUCUGUAGCUGGUCUGAGAGGAUGAUCAGCCACACCGGGACUGAGACACGGCCCGG